UGGGGAAUUUUGGACAAUGGGGGAAACCCUGAUCCAGCCAUCCCGCGUGUGCGAUGAAGGCCUUCGGGUUGUAAAGCACUUUUGGCAGGAAAGAAACGUCGCGGGUUAAUACCCCGCGAAACUGACGGUACCUGCAGAAUAAGCACCGGCUAACUACGUGCCAGCAGCCGCGGUAAUACGUAGGGUGCAAGCGUUAAUCGGAAUUACUGGGCGUAAAGCGUGCGCAGGCGGUUCGGAAAGAAAGAUGUGAAAUCCCAGAGCUUAACUUUGGAACUGCAUUUUUAACUACCGGGCUAGAGUGUGUCAGAGGGAGGUGGAAUUCCGCGUGUAGCAGUGAAAUGCGUAGAUAUGCGGAGGAACACCGAUGGCGAAGGCAGCCUCCUGGGAUAACACUGACGCUCAUGCACGAAAGCGUGGGGAGCAAACAGGAUUAGAUACCCUGGUAGUCCACGCCCUAAACGAUGUCAACUAGCUGUUGGGGGCCUUCGGGCCUUGGUAGCGCAGCUAACGCGUGAAGUUGACCGCCCUGGGGGAGUACGGUCGCAAGAUUAAAAACUCAAAGGAAUUGACGGGGGUCAUAGCUGUUUUUCCU
rnacentral:rRNA from 1 species